GUGCCAGCAGCCGCGGUAAUACGUAGAGUGCAAGCGUUGUCCGGAAUCAUUGGGCGUAAAGGGUACGCAGGCGGAUAUACAAGUCAAAUGUGAAAGGUGUAGGCUUAACCUACAGACUGCGUUUGAAACUGUAUAUCUUGAGAGCAGCAGAGGAAGGCGGAAUUCCUGGUGUAGCGGUGAAAUACGUAGAUAUCAGGAAGAACACCAGUGGCGAAGGCGGUCUUCUGGGCUGCAUCUGACGCUCAUGUACGAAAGCUGGGGCAGCGAAUGGGAUUAGAUACCCCGGUAGUCCCAGCUGUAAACGCUGGACACUAGGUGUUGGAGGUUCGAAUCCUUCAGUGCCGGAGUUAACGCAUUAAGUGUCCCGCCUGGGGAAUACGGUCGCAAGACUGAAACUCAAAGGAAUUGACGGGGGCCCGCACAAGCGGUGGAGCAUGUGGUUUAAUUCGAUGCAACGCGCAGAACCUUACC
rnacentral:rRNA from 1 species